rnacentral:rRNA from 1 species
UGCGUAGGCGGGCUAAUAAGUCAGUGGUGAAAUCUCUCGGCUCAACCGGGAAACUGCCAUUGAUACUGAUAGUCUUGAGUUCGGUUGAGGUAGGCGGAAUGUGUAAUGUAGCGGUGAAAUGCUUAGAUAUUACACAGAACACCAAUUGCGUAGGCAGCUUACUAGACCGACACUGACGCUGAGGCGCGAAAGCGUGGGGAGCAAACAGGAUUAGAUACCCUGGUAGUCC